UACGGAGGGCGCAAGCGUUGUUCGGAAUUACUGGGCGUAAAGCGCGUGUAGGCGGCCAGGUAAGUCGGAUGUGAAAGCCCGGGGCCUAACCCCGGAACUGCACCCGAUACUGCCUGGCUGGAGUCCCGGAGAGGAUGGCGGAAUUUCCGGUGUAGAGGUGAAAUUCGUAGAUAUCGGAAGGAACACCAGUGGCGAAGGCGGCGACCUGGGCCAAUACUGACGCUGAGGUGCGAAAGCGUGGGGAGCAAACAGG
rnacentral:rRNA from 1 species